CAACUCCAGGAGAUGUUAGGCGAGGGCUGCACACUAUUCGACGGUAUGUCGAAGAGUAUAGGAUCAAUGGAUUUUUUGGUCCACUUGUUGAGUUGGUUGAUUGCGAUGAAAAGUUUUUCACUGCAGUUGAAGUCACUGCUGGAAACAGCCUGUUUCACGUGGUAGUUGAGAAUGAUGAUAUUUCAACCAAGUUAAUCAGACACCUGAAUUCUAUAAAGGGUGGUCGACUGACCUUCUUACCUCUGAAUCGGGUAAAGGCGCCUCAUGUAAACUUUCCACAAGAUUCUGCUGCAAUACCACUGCUGAAAAAGUUAAAGUACGACUCUAAGUUUGGACCAGCAUUGGCUCAGG